rnacentral:pre_miRNA from 7 species
GACCGCCAGUGAAAAUCGAUUUUCACUGGCGGUUUUAUUACGCCGACCGCCAGUGAAAAUCGAUUUUCACUGGCGGUC